rfam:Candidatus Levybacteria bacterium RIFCSPLOWO2_01_FTLL_39_24 rifcsplowo2_01_scaffold_1180, whole genome shotgun sequence.
CGGGGUGGAGUAUGACGGUAGUACGUACGCUUCGGGUGCGUAUAGACUGGGUUCAAUUCCCAGCACCCCGA